rnacentral:tRNA from 2 species
GGGCAGGUGGCGUAACUGGUAGCCGCGCCGGGCUUAGAAUCCGGUUCCGAAAGGAGUGGGGGUUCGAGUCCCCCCUUGCCCA